rnacentral:rRNA from 1 species
UACGUAGGGUGCAAGCGUUGUUCGGAAUCACUGGGCGUAAAGGGAGCGUAGGCGGGGUUGUAAGUUAGGAGUUUAAACCUUGGGCUUAACCCAAGAUCGGCUCUUAAUACUGCGAUUCUUGAAUAUUGGAGAGGGUGAUGGAAUUCCAGGUGUAGCGGUGGAAUGCGUAGAUAUCUGGAAGAACACCAGUAGCGAAGGCGGUCACCUGGCCAAAUAUUGACGCUGAGGCUCGAAAGCUAGGGGAG